rnacentral:lncRNA from 1 species
AGCCCCGCCCCCGGCCCCCCAAACUCCGCCUUAACCAAGCCUUCCUGAUCACCAACCCCACACCGCCAAAGGGGUGAAGCAACAGGGGCUCCCCGCACCCUUCUGUAAGCCCUGCUCACCGCGUCUUCCUCCUGCCUGCCCAUUCUGGGAAGAUCACAGCCUCAACUCCUCUCCAGCUGCCCUCGCUACAAGGGCCCUAAGGAGUCAACCAGCAACCGGCUCCCAUCCUCAAGCCCUUGAGUCUGGGCAUCCUAGGGAAGAAGACCCUUAUUCCUACCAGCGGGGUAACGGGUUAAGACGGAAGCCAGACUCGGGAGGGAUGGAAUAGGGAGACGCUGAAGCCAGAUCCCAGAAAGGACUACUAGAGGGCAGAAAUUGGAGGCACUGUAAGGAUCCCCCCCCCCACUAGAGUAGCCCCAGAAAAGCGACGAAGUGUGUCCAGUGCCCUAAGCUAAGAGUCAAGGACACCUGAGUUUAACGCUUAAUUCUGGCUCUGCUAUAAUAAGUUGGACGACAUUAGACAAGUACCUUCUCUCUCUGAGUCCUUAUUUCCUCCCCUCUAGGCUGCCAGAGUAGGGAGGCAAAGUCACAAAACACAGGCGUGCUGAUUGACUGCAGGCCGCCAAGCCCUUUGUGCCAUCCACCCACUGAUGUUUCUCCUGGACACACAAGGAACUGAUAUUUUUUUCAGGCAUUCAUUCCUGGGUACAUCCAUAAAAGGAGCAAGUAUUUGGAAACUACUGUGUGUCAUGUAUAAAAACAAAAUAUAUUUUCCUACCCUCAAGAAGCACAGUCUAACUGAGAAGACAUACAAUCUAAUCUUUAUAAUAGAGUGUGACGAAGGGCAGGCAUGGUCACUGUGUGUGUGUGUGUGUGUGUUCACUGUACCAUCUUACUGUGUCACUAGGGUUGAGAAGACAAGCAAUUCAGUCUUUAUAAUAGAGUGUGAUGAAGGGCAGGCAUGGUCACUCUGCGUGUGUGUGUGUGUGUGUGUGUGUGUGUGUGUGUGUGUGUAG